rnacentral:tRNA from 1 species
GCCCUAGUAGCUUAGCCUCUAAAGCACCGGUUUUGUAACCCGAAGAUCGAAGGUUAAACUCCUUCCUAGAGCC